UAUGCGCACAGCUCAGUAGCACGUGGCUAACCUGCCCUUGGGACGGAAGAACCCCGGGAAACUGGGGCUAAUUUCCGAUAGGUGAAGAUCCUGGAAUGGCUUUUUGCCUAAAGGGCGCUUGGAGCAUGCUUCUAGGCGUUGCCCAAGGAUGGGGCCGCGGCCGAUCAGGUUGUUGGUGAGGUAAUGGCUCACCAAGCCUUUAACCGGUGCGGGCCGUGGGAGCGGAAGCCCGGAGAUGGGCACUGAGACAAGGGCCCAGGCCCUACGGGGCGCAGCAGUCGCGAAAACUUCGCAAUAAGCGAAAGCUUGACGGGGCUAUCCCGAGUGCCAUCCGCUGAGGAUGGCUUUUCCCUAGUAUAGAUAGCUGGGGGAAUAAGGAGAGGGCAAGUCUGGUGUCAGCCGCCGCGGUAAUACCAGCUCUCCGAGUGGUGGGGAUGAUUAUUGGGCCUAAAGCAUCCGUAGCCGGCUGGGCAAGUCCCCUGUUAAACCCAGCGAUUUAAUCGUUGGUCUGCGGGGGAUACUGCUUGGCUAGGGGGCGAGAGAGGCCGUCGGUAUUCCCGGGGUAGGGGUGAAAUCCUAUAAUCCCGGGAGGACCACCAGUGGCGAAGGCUGUCGGCUAGAACGCGCCCGACGGUGAGGGAUGAAAGCUGGGGGAGCGAACCGGAUUAGAUACCCGGGUAGUCCCAGCUGUAAACGAUGCAGGCUAGGUGUUAGGGCGGCCACGUGCCGCUCUAGUGCCGCAGGGAAGCUGUUAAGCCUGCCGCCUGGGAAUACGCCGGCAAGGCUGAACUUAAAGGCCA
rnacentral:rRNA from 1 species